rnacentral:rRNA from 1 species
UUAAGCGACUAAGCGUACACGGUGGAUGCCCUGGCAGUCAGAGGCGAUGAAGGACGUGCUAAUCUGCGAAAAGCGUCGGUAAGGUGAUAUGAACCGUUAUAACCGGCGAUGUCCGAAUGGGGAAACCCAGUGCAAUUCGUUGCACUAUCGUUAACUGAAUACAUAGGUUAACGAGGCGAACCGGGGGAACUGAAACAUCUAAGUACCCCGAGGAAAAGAAAUCAACCGAGAUUCCCCCAGUAGCGGCGAGCGAACGGGGAGCAGCCCAGAGUCUGAAUCAGCUUGUGUGUUAGUGGAACGGUCUGGAAAGUCCGACGGUACAGGGUGAUAGUCCCGUACACCAAAAUGCACAGGCUGUGAACUCGAAGAGUAGGGCGGGACACGUGGUAUCCUGUCUGAAUAUGGGGGGACCAUCCUCCAAGGCUAAAUACUCCUGACUGACCGAUAGUGAACCAGUACCGUGAGGGAAAGGCGAAAAGAACCCCGGCGAGGGGAGUGAAAAAGAACCUGAAACCGUGUACGUACAAGCAGUGGGAGCACCUUCGGGUGUGACUGCGUACCUUUUGUAUAAUGGGUCAGCGACUUAUAUUCUGUAGCAAGGUUAACCGUAUAGGGGAGCCGCAGGGAAACCGAGUCUUAACUGGGCGUUAAGUUGCAGGGUAUAGACCCGAAACCCGGUGAUCUAGCCAUGGGCAGGUUGAAGGUUGGGUAACACUAACUGGAGGACCGAACCGACUAAUGUUGAAAAAUUAGCGGAUGACUUGUGGCUGGGGGUGAAAGGCCAAUCAAACCGGGAGAUAGCUGGUUCUCCCCGAAAGCUAUUUAGGUAGCGCCUCGUGAAUUCAUCUUCGGGGGUAGAGCACUGUUUCGGCUAGGGGGUCAUCCCGACUUACCAACCCGAUGCAAACUACGAAUACCGAAGAAUGUUAUCACGGGAGACACACGGCGGGUGCUAACGUCCGUCGUGAAGAGGGAAACAACCCAGACCGCCAGCUAAGGUCCCAAAGUCAUGGUUAAGUGGGAAACGAUGUGGGAAGGCACAGACAGCCAGGAUGUUGGCUUAGAAGCAGCCAUCAUUUAAAGAAAGCGUAAUAGCUCACUGGUCGAGUCGGCCUGCGCGGAAGAUGUAACGGGGCUAAACCAUGCACCGAAGCUGCGGCAGCGACACUAUGUGUUGUUGGGUAGGGGAGCGUUCUGUAAGCCUGCGAAGGUGACCUGUGAGGGUUGCUGGAGGUAUCAGAAGUGCGAAUGCUGACAUAAGUAACGAUAAAGCGGGUGAAAAGCCCGCUCGCCGGAAGACCAAGGGUUCCUGUCCAACGUUAAUCGGGGCAGGGUGAGUCGACCCCUAAGGCGAGGCCGAAAGGCGUAGUCGAUGGGAAACAGGUUAAUAUUCCUGUACUUGGUGUUACUGCGAAGGGGGGACGGAGAAGGCUAUGUUAGCCGGGCGACGGUUGUCCCGGUUUAAGCAUGUAGGCUGGUUGUCCAGGCAAAUCCGGAUAAUCAAGGCUGAGGUGUGAUGACGAGGCACUACGGUGCUGAAGUAACAAAUGCCCUGCUUCCAGGAAAAGCCUCUAAGCAUCAGGUAACAUCAAAUCGUACCCCAAACCGACACAGGUGGUCAGGUAGAGAAUACCAAGGCGCUUGAGAGAACUCGGGUGAAGGAACUAGGCAAAAUGGUGCCGUAACUUCGGGAGAAGGCACGCUGGUGUGUAGGUGAAGCCCCUGCGGGUGGAGCUGAGACCAGUCGAAGAUACCAGCUGGCUGCAACUGUUUAUUAAAAACACAGCACUGUGCAAACACGAAAGUGGACGUAUACGGUGUGACGCCUGCCCGGUGCCGGAAGGUUAAUUGAUGGGGUUAUCCGUAAGGAGAAGCUCUUGAUCGAAGCCCCGGUAAACGGCGGCCGUAACUAUAACGGUCCUAAGGUAGCGAAAUUCCUUGUCGGGUAAGUUCCGACCUGCACGAAUGGCGUAAUGAUGGCCAGGCUGUCUCCACCCGAGACUCAGUGAAAUUGAACUCGCUGUGAAGAUGCAGUGUACCCGCGGCAAGACGGAAAGACCCCGUGAACCUUUACUAUAGCUUGACACUGAACAUUGAGCCUUGAUGUGUAGGAUAGGUGGGAGGCUUUGAAGCGUGGACGCCAGUCUGCGUGGAGCCAACCUUGAAAUACCACCCUUUAAUGUUUGAUGUUCUAACGUUGGCCCCUUACCGGGGUUGCGGACAGUGUCUGGUGGGUAGUUUGACUGGGGCGGUCUCCUCCCAAAGCGUAACGGAGGAGCACGAAGGUUAGCUAAUCCUGGUCGGACAUCAGGAGGUUAGUGCAAUGGCAUAAGCUAGCUUGACUGCGAGCGUGACGGCGCGAGCAGGUGCGAAAGCAGGUCAUAGUGAUCCGGUGGUUCUGAAUGGAAGGGCCAUCGCUCAACGGAUAAAAGGUACUCCGGGGAUAACAGGCUGAUACCGCCCAAGAGUUCAUAUCGACGGCGGUGUUUGGCACCUCGAUGUCGGCUCAUCACAUCCUGGGGCUGAAGUAGGUCCCAAGGGUAUGGCUGUUCGCCAUUUAAAGUGGUACGCGAGCUGGGUUUAGAACGUCGUGAGACAGUUCGGUCCCUAUCUGCCGUGGGCGCUGGAGAAUUGAGGGGGGCUGCUCCUAGUACGAGAGGACCGGAGUGGACGCAUCACUGGUGUUCGGGUUGUCAUGCCAAUGGCACUGCCCGGUAGCUAAAUGCGGAAGAGAUAAGUGCUGAAAGCAUCUAAGCACGAAACUUGCCCCGAGAUGAGUUCUCCCUGAGACUAUAAGUCUCCUGAAGGAACGUUAAAGACGAUGACGUUGAUAGGCCGGGUGUGUAAGCGCAGCGAUGCGUUGAGCUAACCGGUACUAAUGAACCGUGAGGCUUAACCUU